rnacentral:rRNA from 1 species
UGGGGAAUUUUGGACAAUGGGCGAAGCCUGAUCCAGCAAUGCCGCGUGUGUGAAGAAGGCCUUCGGGUUGUAAAGCACUUUUGUCCGGAAAGAAAUCCUUGGCUCUAAUACAGUCGGGGGAUGACGGUACCGGAAGAAUAAGCACCGGCUAACUACGUGCCAGCAGCCGCGGUAAUACGUAGGGUGCAAGCGUUAAUCGGAAUUACUGGGCGUAAAGCGUGCGCAGGCGGUUUGCUAAGACCGAUGUGAAAUCCCCGGGCUCAACCUGGGAACUGCAUUGGUGACUGGCAGGCUAGAGUAUGGCAGAGGGGGGUAGAAUUCCACGUGUAGCAGUGAAAUGCGUAGAGAUGUGGAGGAAUACCGAUGGCGAAGGCAGCCCCCUGGGCCAAUACUGACGCUCAUGCACGAAAGCGUGGGGAGCAAACAGGAUUAGAUACCCUGGGUAGUCCACGCCCUAAACGAUGUCAACUAGUUGUUGGGGAUUCAUUUCCUUAGUAACUAGCUAACGCGUGAAGUUGACCGCCUGGGGAGUAC